AUAGUAUCUGAUUUAUCAGAAUGAUGAAAUUUAAAUCUAAGGGCUUGUAGAGAGAGAUACUGUAAAAUGCAAGCAGCUUUUUUUUUUUUUUUUUCCUCCAUAGCAUCUUGUAAAGGCCCGAAGAAUUAGAAACAUCAGAUACCAUAAAAGAUCAAACAGGAUAAAGUCAAUGAAGGAAAACACUAAAGAUGUUUUUCAAGUUCUUCCUUCAAACAAUAUGGAGGACUCCUGGCUGAAGUAGAGGCAGAAUCGUAAUUGGAGAAGGAACAGAGUCACUGAGUGUUCAAAACAGAUUCUUCAUCUUCAUUAUACUCAUAGACAGCCAUCUACUAACUGAAGAGCUUAAUGCUCAAGUUCAUUAUUUUGUUCAACAAAUGUUUAUCAAACAACUUUGAAGUGUCUGACACUCUUCUAGGUACUUAGGAUAUAUCAGUGAACAAAAUUUGCAAUGGAAGACAAGUAGAUGAUGUAA
rnacentral:lncRNA from 1 species